AAUCACUUCUCAAAUCCCUUUCCGAAUCCAACACGAAGAAGUACCCAAAAUACUGGGACGAGCUCCGAGGAAUGGCUGAGGGGAGAUUCUCCAUUUCUCGAAGUAAUGAGCAGAGAAUCCGUCGCCUAAUUACCGGUAAUUGUAAAAAAAUUGCGUCUGAUUGAGAUUUCUAGGGUUUCGCAGGUAAUGCUGCUCAAUUUCAGGAAGGAGAUACGUGAGUUUUUUUAAGUUUUUCUUUUCGAAACGAUGGAUGAUAAUACAGUUCUAUUGAUUUCCUGUGAUUCUUCAAUUUGGGGAUGUAGUUUUCUGAUUAAAGCAAAUUUUGUCGAAUGGAUCAUCCUUCACUGCUUACACAUAUGCAGGAGAGCUCCCCACCUGUGCCUUUGGGUUCAACAGCCAUGGAUUGGUAUUUCAUUUCUUACUGAUAUUCCUUAUAACUCCUAAAUCUUAGACGCUGAUAUGCCUUGAAUUUAGUUUGUCAUUUCGUGGAAUUUUAAAUAGACUUAGGGAUACAAAAUCUGUAAUAUAAUAUGUAACGUUGCCGUUUCUGCUCGCGGACAUAGCCACCAUGUUGUUGGUGAAGACUUAAAUUUGUGUUUCUUUACAUUUUUUUUUUUUCGUUAUUCGAUCAUUAAUCCUAAUCCGUCGUAACACUUGAAAAGAACACCAAAGAAGGGCAAUGCUGGGAUUUAUGUUGGAAUUGUGGCUCUGAUUUUUGUUGUUUGGUGUUGAAUUUAUUUGAAAAUUGUGUUGUUGAUAGGUAAGAAAUGUGACGAACCACAUUGAACUGUAUAAAACAUCGACGCGGUGUUGAGCUAUUUAAUUAUGGUGUAAAGUUGUUGAAUUAUAGUGUAAAAGUUUGUAAAUACGUCGAAUUGUAUGUUCAAUGCUACAUUGAACAAAUUUGCAAAUUAUGGCGUAAUUUGCUUAGAACCACGCAAGAAAAACGUUAAUUCAUAGUAUACAUUUGUUGAUCGCGCUUAUAUGUUGAAUUACAUACAAAAUAUGCUUAGAGGAUGAGCACGAGUAGCCUAAUCAGCGGUGGUUAAUGAUUUUAUCUGAUCGCUAUUAGUCAUCUUCUAGAAAUACCAUCGUAAUUUUUUAGAUAUGUUGAUAUAUUUUAGAUAUUAAUUUUAGAUUUGAUCAUAUCUAUUAGAUUAUUUAGAUUUGAAUAUGUCCGAGUCUGUUUUAUGUUACCUAUACAUAUAGACCUUUUUAUUUUGACGAUCAAUAACUCAAUUUUGUAGAGUUUUCGCAAAUUAAUUUUAACAUGGUUUCAGAGCUUAUUUUUCUCUAGGGAAUGAUCUAAGAAGCCUAAAGGUAACAUAAAACAAAUUCGAUAGACUCAAAUCUAAAUAAUCUAAAUCUAAAUCUAACAAAUUUAAAAUUAAAUAUCUAAAAUCUAUCAACAAGAUAAUCGUACAAAAUGUUUGUCUAGAAUAUGAAAAAGGCUUCUUCCCUUCUUAGGAGAUUGAGAUUGUCCCGAUCUUCAACAUCUACCUGAAUUUGUGCUACACUCAGUUCUCCUUUCGACAAUUCGAACAAAAUUAGGAUCUUGUAUGUUUUACUAUUGCUGAAGGCAUUUACUCUGAAUUCGGUCCCACCGGCAAAGUGUGAGAUUGUAGCCGGGGGUGUAGGCAGGAACUUUGUCUCGAGGGACUUGCUAGAAGCACAUAGCAUCGAUGACGCCUUAGAAUUACAAUCUGAUUGACAUAAACUCCCGGAGAAUCUUGAAUGUCGAAACAGCAUCAAGAAAUCGCCACUCGGUUUAUGAAGUAGGAGAAGUGCCAUUCUUCCACGCCAAUAUGUAUCUUC